rnacentral:rRNA from 1 species
UGAACGCUGGCGGCAUGCUUUACACAUGCAAGUCGAACGGUAACAGGCCUUCGGGUGCUGACGAGUGGCGAACGGGUGAGUAAUGCAUCGGAACGUACCCAGAGGUGGGGGAUAACGCAGCGAAAGCUGUGCUAAUACUGCAUGUGAUCUGAGGAUGAAAGCGGGGGACCGAGCAGCAAUGUUUGGCCUCGCGCCUUUGGAGCGGCCGAUGUCGGAUUAGCUAGUUGGUGGGGUAAAGGCCUACCAAGGCGACGAUCCGUAGCUGGUCUGAGAGGACGACCAGCCACACUGGGACUGAGACACGGCCCAGACUCCUACGGGAGGCAGCAGUGGGGAAUUUUGGACAAUGGGCGCAAGCCUGAUCCAGCAAUGCCGCGUGCGGGAAGAAGGCCUUCGGGUUGUAAACCGCUUUUGGCAGGAACGAAACGGUGUCCGCUAAUACCGGGCGCUAAUGACGGUACCUGCAGAAUAAGCACCGGCUAACUACGUG